rnacentral:rRNA from 1 species
GAUGAACGCUAGCGGGAGGCCUAACACAUGCAAGCCGAGCGGUAUUGUUUCUUCGGCAAUGAGAGAGCGGCGUACGGGUGCGUAACACGUGUGCAACCUGCCUUUAUCUGGGGGAUAGCCUUUCGAAAGGAAGAUUAAUACUCCAUAAUAUAUUGAACGGCAUCGUUUAAUAUUGAAAGCUCCGGCGGAUAGAGAUGGGCACGCGCAAGAUUAGCUAGUUGGUGAGGUAACGGCUCACCAAGGCGAUGAUCUUUAGGGGGCCUGAGAGGGUGAUCCCCCACACUGGUACUGAGACACGGACCAGACUCCUACGGGAGGCAGCAGUGAGGAAUAUUGGUCAAUGGGUGCAAGCCUGAACCAGCCAUCCCGCGUGAAGGACGACUGCCCUAUGGGUGGUAAACUUCUUUUGUAUAGGGAUAAACCUACCCUCGAGAGGGUAGCUGAAGGUACUAUACGAAUAAGCACCGGCUAACUCCGUG